rnacentral:rRNA from 1 species
ACCACGGGCAUGCUCAGUACGGCGAGUGAAGCGGCAAGAGCUCAAAUUUGAAAGCUGGCUCCUUCGGGGUCCGCAUUGUAAUUUGCAGAGGAUGCUUCGGGUGCGGCCCCUGUCUAAGUGCCCUGGAACGGGCCGUCAGAGAGGGUGAGAAUCCCGUCUGGGAUGGGGUGUCCGCGCCCGUGUGAAGCUCCUUCGACGAGUCGAGUUGUUUGGGAAUGCAGCUCUAAAUGGGUGGUAAAUUUCAUCUAAAGCUAAAUACUGGCCGGAGACCGAUAGCGCACAAGUAGAGUGAUCGAAAGAUGAAAAGCACUUUGAAAAGAGAGUUAAAAAGCACGUGAAAUUGUUGAAAGGGAAGCGCUUGCGACCAGACUCGCCUCCAGGGUUCAGCCGGCAUUCGUGCCGGUGUACUUCCCUGGGGGCGGGCCAGCGUCGGUUUGGGCGGCCGGUCAAAGGCUCCCGGAAUGUAGUGCCCUUCGGGGCACCUUAUAGCCGGGAGUGCAAUGCGGCCAGCCUGGACCGAGGAACGCGCUUCGGCACGGACGCUGGCAUAAUGGUCGCAAACGACCCGUCUUGAACCCGGGACCAAAA